rnacentral:ncRNA from 1 species
UAAGACGAGAAGACCCUGUGGAGCUUAAAAUUACAACUUAAAUUAAUUUAUAUUAUACCCUAAGGGAUUAAUCUUACAAAACUUUUUAAGCUGAAUUUUUGGUUGGGGUGACCUCGGAGCACAAGCAACCCUCCGAAUGACAUAACUAAGACCAACACAUCUAAGUGCAACCUAAGCCAGUAAUUGACCCAAAACUUGAUCAACGGAACAAGUUACCCCAGGGAUAACAGCGCAAUCCUAUUUAAGAGCCCAUAUCGACAAUUAGGGUUUACGACCUCAAUGUUGGAUCAGGACUUUUUUUA